UACGUAGGGUCCAAGCGUUUAUCCGGAAUCACUGGGCGUAAAGCGUGCGUAGGUGGCGCGUUAAGUGUGAUGUUAAAUCGCGGGGCUCAACCCUGUCGAUGCAUCGCAUACUGGCGUGCUAGAGGGAAGCAGAGGCAAGUGGAAUUGGUAGUGUAGCAGUGAAAAUGCGUAGAUAUUACCAGGAACACCAAUGGCGAAGGCAGCUUGCUGGGCUUCUUCUGACACUGAGGUACGAAAGCGUGGGGAGCGAACAGG
rnacentral:rRNA from 1 species